UGCUCGUGGCACCUUGCAAGGUGAUUCACGUAGCCAAACUGUUGCAUGAGUGCCUCGUUGCAUACCAGUUUGACAGGUAUCUCAACUUCUUCCUUAGGUUAUCCCACAUUUCAAAAACCCUUCCUAGUGCCUGCUGGUAUUUCCGUCCACCCAUCUCUCUGCUUCAAGAUUAAUGAUUUGCCAUCCUUUCUGCUUCAAGAUCCACCUUUGCCUGCACCAAAAUCGCGAAGUAUAGUGCUACAAUCAGAUAAAAAAACUGAAAAUUCAAGGAAAUUGCACCAUGCCAGUUGAUUCCCAUGAGUUGCAGUUAGUUUGCUUCUCCCUCUGAUAGUCUCAGUUUGCACCUGCAAUUUCUACCUUGAAUAGUCUAAGCCAUCUGGUGGCCAUAUGCAGUUCAAUUCAUGUCCAGGUUCACAUAUGGUGGGAUUCUCAUAAAUAUUUGGCAACGGGCUUUACCAUAGUUGCAGGAGGCUAGAUACAGGUGGCGAUUAGGGUUCCAGUUUUGGGUUUUGCACGUCAGGUGGGGUAUAACAAUAUAAAACAAUAGCAUGAGCAUGAUGUAGCGUUAUCAAAUCAAAGACAACACAAGUUGGCUCAAAUAUCUGCAGUCUCGUCCAUUCUGAGAACCCAAUGAAGACAUGAAGAAUUUAUGAUUCUGGAUGGCAACACAUCAAAGAGAACCCAAUGAAGACAUGAAGAAUUUAUGUUGGAUGAUUGGAGCUUUGCAUUCAAUAAUAUAGAGAUUACAGUCCAAACCUUAUCAAACAAAAACAACAAUGUUUUGCCACUCUUUGGGCAGGAACUUCGCUGCUCUGCAACUCUUGUCUAUAUUGAUAUUCUUGUUGGUCUAAUUGUUUUGAAGAUAAGGUUGUUUUCUAUUGUUGAGUUGGUUAAGUAUAGGUUUUUGUUUAAUA